UCCUUUCUAAGGAAGAACUCUAAUGGAAACGCUCACUCGUUGAGCCUCUGCCUUUCAGUUCUCUUGGAACAAGACGGAAGAGAGUCACUCUUACCGUCGUGCAUACCUUAAGCGGGUCUGCCGCCUUCGUUUCUCUUUCUUCGCGAAUGACUAACCUCCCUUUGGCUAUGCCCACAAGGCGUGCCUUGCCGGUGCAAAUGGUGCCAGCAGGGUUCGGUUUAGGGCUUGUAGCUCAGUUGGUUAGAGCGCGCGCUUGAUAAGCGUGAGGUCGGAGGUUCAAGUCCUCCCAGGCCCACCAUUUCCUCGACAAAAGGUAUCAGGGGCCGUAGCUCAGCUGGGAGAGCGCCUGCUUUGCAAGCAGGAUGUCGUCGGUUCGAUCCCGUCCGGCUCCACCAUCUUUCUUCUUCGGAAGGAAGGGUGUCGAGUAGAGAUGAGCGCCGAUCGGUCAGUCAUUCGUAUAAAGGUUUGCGGCGAGCAUCUGGCUCUCCGCCUGUUCUGUGUGACAUCGUAAAGAGAAGAUUUGUUCGAACUUCAUGAUCUGAAAGGUUCAUGAUUUGUCGCGGGAGACGCUCAAUCUCCCGCAUAUGAUGGGUUUGCCUAACCGCGCCCUCGAACCGAUCUCGAGAAGCUGGUCUUUUUGUGCCAAUUCCAUUGAAUUCAGGUUCUGCACAGGAUCUGGUUCGAGCGACAAUCCCUUCGGGAUUGCGCGAUGGGCAUUGGCAAUGAGAACGAUCAAGUGUCUUAAGGGCAAUUGGUGGAUGCCUUGGCAUGCACAGGCGAUGAAGGACGUGAUACGCUGCGAUAAGCUACGGGAGGUGCGAAUACCCUUUGAUCCGUAGAUUUCCGA
rnacentral:misc_RNA from 1 species